rnacentral:tRNA from 1 species
GCAAUAAUAGCUUAAAUUAGAGCAUUGGUCUUGUAAGUCAAAGGUGAAUACAGAUGUUCUUAUUGCU